AGAGUUUGAUCCUGGCUCAGGAUGAACGCUAGCGGCAGGCCUAACACAUGCAAGUCGAGGGGUAUGGGGUGCUUGCACCCCAGAGACCGGCGCACGGGUGAGUAACGCGUAUGCAACCUACCUAUUGCAGGGGAAUAGCCCAGGGAAACUUGGAUUAAUGCCCCAUAGCCCACAAUGAGAGCAUUUGAUUUGUGGUAAAGAUUUAUCGGCAAUAGAUGGGCAUGCGUCCCAUUAGCUUGUUGGUGCGGUAACGGCGCACCAAGGCUACGAUGGGUAGGGGCCCUGAGAGGGGGAUCCCCCACACUGGUACUGAGACACGGACCAGACUCCUACGGGAGGCAGCAGUGAGGAAUAUUGGACAAUGGGCGGGAGCCUGAUCCAGCCAUGCCGCGUGCAGGAAGACUGCCCUAUGGGUUGUAAACUGCUUUUUUACGGGAAGAAACACCCCCACGUGUGGGGGCUUGACGGUACCGUACGAAUAAGGAUCGGCUAACUCCGUGCCAGCAGCCGCGGUAAUACGGAGGAUCCGAGCGUUAUCCGGAAUCAUUGGGUUUAAAGGGUCCGUAGGCGGGCGUCUAAGUCAGUGGUGAAAUCCCGCAGCUCAACUGUGGAAUUGCCAUUGAUACUGGUCGUCUUGAAUUAGUGUGAAGUGGCUAGAAUAUGUGGUGUAGCGGUGAAAUGCUUAGAUAUCACAUAGAAUACCGAUUGCGAAGGCAGGUCACUAACACUAUAUUGACGCUGAUGGACGAAAGCGUGGGGAGCGAACAGGAUUAGAUACCCUGGUAGUCCACGCCGUAAACGAUGGAUACUAGCUGUCCGGCCUACGUUGGUAGGCUGGGUGGCCAAGCGAAAGUGAUAAGUAUCCCACCUGGGGAGUACGUUCGCAAGAAUGAAACUCAAAGGAAUUGACGGGGGCCCGCACAAGCGGUGGAGCAUGUGGUUUAAUUCGAUGAUACGCGAGGAACCUUACCAGGGCUUAAAUGUAGUCUGACAGGGGUGGAAACAUCCCCUUCUUCGGACAGACUGCAAGGUGCUGCAUGGUUGUCGUCAGCUCGUGCCGUGAGGUGUCAGGUUAAGUCCUAUAACGAGCGCAACCCCUGCCGUUAGUUGCCAGCAUGUAAAGAUGGGAACUCUAACGGGACUGCCGGUGCAAACCGUGAGGAAGGUGGGGAUGACGUCAAAUCAUCACGGCCCUUACGUCCUGGGCCACACACGUGCUACAAUGGCAGGUACAAUGGGCAGCCACGCCGCAAGGCGGAGCGAAUCCACAAAACCUGUCUCAGUUCGGAUCGGGGUCUGCAACUCGACCCCGUGAAGCUGGAAUCGCUAGUAAUCGGAUAUCAGCCAUGAUCCGGUGAAUACGUUCCCGGGCCUUGUACACACCGCCCGUCAAGCCAUGGAAGCUGGAAGCACCUGAAGUCCGUCACCGCGAGGAGCGGCCUAGGGUGAAGCUGGUAACUGGGGCUAAGUCGUAACAAGGUAGCCGUA
rnacentral:rRNA from 1 species